rnacentral:lncRNA from 1 species
AUUUUGGCUAACAUAUAUCUUAUAAUUUUCAGUUUGUCCUAAAAAAUCUAAUAAGUUUAACAAAGAACAUUUAUAUAAAAAUAAUUACACCAUCAUUAAAAUUGAUAAUCACAACUCUCAGCAAUUCAGGAUGGAAAAGAAUCAGUCAGUUUUAUCCUUUCUCCCUUACUUUUCAAUAUUUAUGUGGAAUAUAUACUAAAAAAUCCUAAGAAAACAUUGAGAAUGGUUUUAAAAUUGCCGGAAUCACCAUUAAUAAUCUAUGAUUUAUUGAUGGUAGUACAAUUAUUGCUAGCAUAUUAGUUAGCAUGGGAGAUAUAUUCAACUUUUAUUAGAAAAGAAAGUGAAAAAUAUUGUAAAAAUUAUGGCCAGUAUCUUGGGGUUUGUUAUUUGACAAUCCUAUUUCUGACGUCGCUAAAGAUCACACAGUAAAUAGGGUAACCAUUUUGAUUAUCUGCUUAAUAUCGGAAUUGACAUCAGGAAGAGUUUAAUGUGCUUUUCCAAUGUAUGAAAUACUAUUUUUCAGAAUAUGGCUAAUACAUGAUAUUUGGUAUAAAAAUAAUCAAACCACUAUUAAAAUUGAUAAUCACAACUCUCAACCAUUCAGGAUGGAAAAAAGAGUUAGUUCUCCUAUCCUGAUUCUUGGUGUCAAGGUCCUGGAUAGGGGAAUUAUUCAUGAAACUCACACAAAUAAGUUGAAACUUAUACAUGAAUCUCAUACAAAUAACUUGUACAAAAAAUCAAUAUAUAAAGUAGUUUAAGUGGAUAUUACAUAAACAACAUGUUAGACCUAAUCGCCUGCAGCUAAACCUGGAAGAUGUAGUUUACGUCGUCAGUGAUAUAGAACUUCUGAGACUAGUGAAGGAACUUCUACUCAAUGCACGACUGUGGUGCCCCAUUCUGUACCAAAUAUAUGUGAUAUUGCGCCGCAUAUUGACAACGUAUUACAGGAGUUUGAUGAUGCACAUAAAGAAAGAAUUAGAUGGGAGCUAAUAGCAACUAAGAAGGCAGAUCAAAAAUCAAACAUCUCCAAUAAGAAAUAUAAAGCGAUGGUAGAUUAUACCAAACAAUGGAUGAAAAACCAGUCUAUCACAUGUACCAAGGAUGAUAAGUCUAAGAAGGUAGUAUUUAUUAAGAAUGACCACUAUACUAACCUUCUACAGGAGUUUAUUGAAAUGUCAGAAUCGGAGCAGCUAACAUCGGAC